AGUAAUGUCAUGAGUGCUCAGGCCUUGCCGUGACCCAGGCUGAGAAGAGCCUCACUGCCCUGGUGCUUUGUGCCUCUUGCUGGCAAAAACCUCCUUGAACCAACUGAGGCCAUCAUGUUCAGGACAGAACCUUUUGGUGUGGCAGCCCCAAGGACCCACACACUUUUCAAAAAAAAAAAAAAAAAUCUAGGUGGGUUAUAACGGAUUCUGAGAAACAAGCAACGUGGGCAGACUGGCACAGGUCUGACAAGUCACUCAGAAAAACCAGUCAAGCCAAGCUGUUAAUCGCUGUGCAAAAGGCAACCCGGCUGUGUCGACACCCAAGAGACUCCGAAGACAAUGGCAGAGGAAGCCCG
rnacentral:lncRNA from 1 species